UACGUAGGCAGCGAGCGUUGUUCGGAAUUACUGGGCGUAAAGAGUGUGUAGGCGGCGCUCUAAGUUCGGUGUGAAAUCUCUCGGCUUAACUGGGAGGGUGCGCCGGAAACUGGAGUGCUCGAACGUGGGAGAGGAAAGCGGAAUUCCUGGUGUAGCGGUGAAAUGCGUAGAUAUCAGGAGGAACACCUGCGGUGUAGACGGCUCGUCUGGUACGUGACUGACGCUGAGACGCGAAAGCGUGGGGGAGCGAA
rnacentral:rRNA from 1 species